AACUUGAAUCACCUCGAUCCAAUGUCUGCAGCUCAAGUUAUGAUUAUUUUAUCAACAGCUGCUUCUUGCUUGAGGCAGUCACUAUUUUUGACUUUUCAACAUUAUUUUCCUCCACUUGCUCCACUUGUAAUAAAUUGAAAAUACAUGUGAAAUACAUCAAAUAGAUACUCUUUCAAAUGUAUAAUACUCAUGCCGCCAUGUAUGUAAAUACGUAUUUCAAUUAAUUGCAUUUUUAACCAUGUAUUUAUGGAAAUUGAAUUUACAGCAUGAGAAUUGGAAUUAGAGACUAACAUUAGCAUUUUUAAACAAAGUGAAUGUAAAAUGCCUUCUAAAUGAUAUAUCUUUGAAGCACUUUUAGACACUAAUCAC
rnacentral:lncRNA from 1 species